rnacentral:rRNA from 1 species
GAUGAACGCUGGCGGCGUGCCUAAUACAUGCAAGUCGAGCGAACAGACGAGGAGCUUGCUCCUUUGACGUUAGCGGCGGACGGGUGAGUAACACGUGGGUAACCUACCUAUAAGACUGGGAUAACUUCGGGAAACCGGAGCUAAUACCGGAUAAUAUUUCGAACCGCAUGGUUCGAUAGUGAAAGAUGGCUUUGCUAUCACUUAUAGAUGGACCUGCGCCGUAGUGGCUAGGUGGUAAGGUAACGGCUUACCAAGGCAACGAUACGUAGCAGAACUGAGAGGGUGAGCAGCCACACUGGGACUGAGACACGGUCCAGACUCCUACGGAAAGCAGCAGUAGGGAAUCUUCCGCCAGGGGCGAAAGACUGACGGAGCAACACCGCGUGAGUGAUGAAGGUCUUCGGAUCGUAAAACUCUGUUAUUAGGGAAGAACAAACGUGUAAGUAACUGUGCACGUCUUGACGGUACCUAAUCAGAAAGCCACGGCUAACUACGUG